rnacentral:rRNA from 1 species
UACGUAGGGUGCGAGCGUUGUCCGGAAUUAUUGGGCUUAAAGAGCUCGUAGGCGGCUUGUCGCGUCGGAUGUGAAAGCCCGGGGCUUAACUCCGGGUCUGCAUUCGAUACGGGCAGGCUAGAGUGUGGUAGAGGAGAUCGGAAUUCCUGGUGUAGCGGUGAAAUGCGCAGAUAUCAGGAGGAACACCGGUGGCGAAGGCGGAUCUCUGGGCCAUUACUGACGCUGAGGAGCGAAAGCGUGGGGAGCGAACAGG